UCCCCUAUAGCUGAAUGGUAAAGCUGCACACUUUUAAUGUGAGGAUUAUAGGUUCGAGUCCUAUUGGGGGAA
rnacentral:tRNA from 1 species